UACGUAGGGGGCAAGCGUUGUCCGGAUUUACUGGGCGUAAAGCGCCUGUAGGCGGCCUGUCAAGUCCGGCCUGAAAGCCCCCGGCUCAACCGGGGAGGGUGGCUGGAAACUGGCGGGCUUGAGUGUGGCAGAGGGGGGUGGAAUUCCGCGUGUAGCAGUGAAAUGCGUAGAUAUCAGGAGGAACACCAAUGGCGAAGGCAGCACUCUGGGACGUGACUGACACUGAGACGCGAAAGCGUGGGGAGCAAACAGG
rnacentral:rRNA from 1 species